AACGCAUAUUGCGCUUGAGGCUUCGGCCAAGAGCAUGUCUGUCUCAGCGUUGGUUUAAUCCAAUCUUCUACAAUGAAGGAGCUGAAGUAUCUACUUGGAUACUUUCAAAGCAUAGUCGGCAUUGACAAUUCACGGUAAGCACUGUCGGUGUUAUGAUUGUCAUGCUAGUGUAGGAAACAUUUUUUCUCAACCUGAGAUCAGGCAAGGUUACCCGCUGAACUUAA
rnacentral:misc_RNA from 1 species